AUUGAACGCUGGCGGCAUGCCUUACACAUGCAAGUCGAACGGCAGCACGGGUGCUUGCACCUGGUGGCGAGUGGCGAACGGGUGAGUAAUAUAUCGGAACGUACCUUAUUGUGGGGGAUAACGCAGCGAAAGCUGUGCUAAUACCGCAUAAUCCCUAAGGGGGAAAGCGGGGGACCGUAAGGCCUCGCGCAAUUAGAGCGGCCGAUACCUGAUUAGCUAGUUGGUGAGGUAAAGGCCCACCAAGGCAACGAUCAGUAGCUGGUCUGAGAGGACGAUCAGCCACACUGGGACUGAGACACGGCCCAGACUCCUACGGGGGACAGCAGUGGGGAAUUUUGGACAAUGGGGGCAACCCUGAUCCAGCAAUGCCGCGUGAGUGAAGAAGGCCUUCGGGUUGUAAAGCUCUUUUGUCAGGGAAGAAACAGCAGCUCUAACACAGUUUGCGAAUGACGGUACCUGAAGAAUAAGCACCGGCUAACUACGUGCCAGCCGCCGCCGUAA
rnacentral:rRNA from 1 species